rnacentral:piRNA from 1 species
UUUGAUUCAAGGUGGUCGAAU